GACGAACGCUGGCGGCGUGCUUAACACAUGCAAGUCGAACGGAAAGGCCCUGCUUUUGUGGGGUGCUCGAGUGGCGAACGGGUGAGUAACACGUGAGUAACCUGCCCUUGACUUUGGGAUAACUUCAGGAAACUGGGGCUAAUACCGGAUAGGAGCUCCUGCUGCAUGGUGGGGGUUGGAAAGUUUCGGCGGUUGGGGAUGGACUCGCGGCUUAUCAGCUUGUUGGUGGGGUAGUGGCUUACCAAGGCUUUGACGGGUAGCCGGCCUGAGAGGGUGACCGGCCACAUUGGGACUGAGAUACGGCCCAGACUCCUACGGGAGGCAGCGGUGGAGAAUAUUACACAAUGGGCGGAAGCCUGAUGCAGCAACGCCGCGUGCGGGAUGACGGCCUUCGGGUUGUAAACCGCUUUCGCCUGUGACGAAGCGUUAGUGACGGUAAUGAGUAAAGAAGCACCGGCUAACUACGUG
rnacentral:rRNA from 1 species